GGCGUGCUUAACACAUGCAAGUCGAACGGGAUCCAUCGGGCUUUGCUUGGUGGUGAGAGUGGCGAACGGGUGAGUAAUGCGUGACCGACCUGCCCCAUGCACCGGAAUAGCUCCUGGAAACGGGUGGUAAUGCCGGAUGCUCCAUCACACCGCAUGGUGUGUUGGGAAAGCCUUUGCGGCAUGGGAUGGGGUCGCGUCCUAUCAGCUUGAUGGCGGGGUAACGGCCCACCAUGGCUUCGACGGGUAGCCGGCCUGAGAGGGCGACCGGCCACAUUGGGACUGAGAUACGGCCCAGACUCCUACGGGAGGCAGCAGUGGGGAAUAUUGCACAAUGGGCGCAAGCCUGAUGCAGCGACGCCGCGUGAGGGAUGGAGGCCUUCGGGUUGUAAACCUCUUUUGUUAGGGAGCAAGGCACUUUGUGUUGAGUGUACCUUUCGAAUAAGCACCGGCUAACUACGUGCCAGCAGCCGCGGUA
rnacentral:rRNA from 1 species